AAGCGCUUGCCAUCAGAAUUGGGGUCGGUCGAUCAGCAUUCCUUCUGGUUUGUGCACUCGACCGGCAUCCGUGCCAGCACCGGUUGCGGCGGCACGAUAAAGACUCUGGGAAUGUGGCUCCUCUCGGGGAGUGUUAUAGCUCGGGGUGUCAUGGUGCCAGCCGCGACUGAGGACCGCGCCCUAGGCAAGGGUGCUGGCUUAAUGGUGUUAAGCG
rnacentral:rRNA from 1 species